UACGUAGGGGGCUAGCGUUGUCCGGAAUCAUUGGGCGUAAAGCGCGCGUAGGCGGCCCGGUAAGUCCGCUGUGAAAGUCAAAGGCUCAACCUUUGAAUGUCAGCGGAUACUGCCGGGCUAGAGUCCGGAAGAGGCGAGUGGAAUUCCUGGUGUAGCGGUGGAAUGCGCAGAUAUCAGGAAGAACACCGAUGGCGAAGGCAGUUCUCUGGGCCGGUACUGACGCUGAGGUGCGAAAGCGUGGGGAACAAACAGG
rnacentral:rRNA from 1 species